GACGAACGCUGGCGGCGUGCUUAACACAUGCAAGUCGAACGGUAAGGCCUUUCGGGGUACCCGAGUGGCGAACGGGUGAGUAACACGUGGGUGAUCUGCCCUGCACUUCGGGAUAAGCCCGGGAAACUGGGUCUAAUACCGGAUAGGACUGCGCGGUGCAUGCCGUGUGGUGGAAAGAUUUAUCGGUGCAGGAUGGGCCCGCGGCCUAUCAGCUUGUUGGUGGGGUAAUGGCCUACCAAGGCGACGACGGGUAGCCGGCCUGAGAGGGCGACCGGCCACACUGGGACUGAGACACGGCCCAGACUCCUACGGGAGGCAGCAGGGGGGAAUAUUGCACAAUGGGCGCAAGCCUGAUGCAGCGACGCCGCGUGAGGGAUGACGGCCUUCGGGUUGUAAACCUCUUUCAGCAGGGACGAAGCGUGAGUGACGGUACCUGCAGAAGAAGCACCGGCCAACUACGUG
rnacentral:rRNA from 1 species